UCUACCGCGCCCCACAGGGAAAUGUGCAACGAAAGCACCUGGAAUGACACAACGCUUGUGCUCAAGCAGCCACAGCUCUGUCGAGUGAAAACUGCCAAAGGUGUCUUCUCGAAAAUGAAGUGUUUAUUAUUUAUGCUUUCUUUUAAAAAAAAAAAAGUAAUUGCAUUUCAUUGUUUCCAUGUUAUCGCAGUCAGUAUUAAUGAAUGGAGGAAUGUAAGGUAGCACUUUAUUGAAAGCAAAGAGGUACAGCGUCCGUUUGAGAGAUUGUU